UUUUUGGAUAACUAAUAUGCAUUCACUGCAAUCCUAUUUUGAAUGAACAACAUCAGUUCCUUGAUAAAUGAAAAAUAAAUUACCAUAACAAAAACUUUUUAGUCUCUAACCUGCCUUCCUGGAUGGAAUGGAAUAUCAGGGUCUUCGGUUAAUUCAACAUCAACAACACCAAUCAAAAGGCGGAUGUGAUGAAAUCAAGAUCAAACGGUGAAAUUUCGGAACUUUUAUGACCAAAACAGAAAUGAUAACUGAGGUUAGAGCUUCUAAAUAAAGGUUAGAUGGUGUGGUUUUCAUGUAUGUUGUUCCAUGUGAUUUAACUAAUAAUGUCUAUUUAGAAUAAUCGACUAAAUCUCACAUAUGUUGCUCUUUAUUAUUCUUCUUUUUUCUUUAUAGUCGGAAGUGGAGGUGAAUAAUGUGUUGUUUAAUGGUGUGAUGGUGUUAGUAAUGAGUAACUACAUUUAUAAGUGUUCCAUUAAAGAUACCAACACCCAAACCUACAAUAGAUGAAAACAAAGCCCAUGACAAAACCAUUCUUGACAAAAAUGUUAGCAUGUUCCAGGAGAAAUGACAUACUCACAUGUUGUUGGCCAGUCAUACUCUCCAUCAGUUAGCAAUGUUGAGUGUAUGACAACCUGCAAAAUUGGCCAAUAGUGUUCUAGUAAGAACUGGUAAAUGCUUAUUUUGAUCCACAAGAUAAAAACAUAUUAAGUAAUAUGGGAUACGUUUAGAAAACAAUGGGAAACAUAAAUAACAAAUCCAAUGACUAAAUUUGAUUACUUGAAGUUACCACCAGCUCCACCUGAUUAACAUCUCCUUCAUGGAAAAACAAAAACAUCAUUUUCAAUUAGUCAAAAAUGAUGUAAUAAACUAUACAAAUUUCAGUAGAUAAUACAAUUUACCUUAAUGAAGUUCAGGAGAGAAAAAGUUUCUUAUCUUGUUGUGACUCCUCUUAUAGUGGAGCCCUGGGUUCAUUUUCCAAGAUUUGGAUAUGAAGAUGCUACAUAAGAUGAAAUAAUCAAUCUUCUCUUAAAAUUCAAAUUUGAGGAAAAAUUUCUUCCCCAAACCUAAUAAUUUGGAAGCAUGAACUGUGAUAUUAACCUUGGAAACAUAAAAAUUUCAACUUGUGAAUCAAAUGAACAAAAACAAAGGGUAUUCCAAAAGAAAAUAGAAUAAAUGAUUAAAGAACAAAAUGAAAAAAAUCAUACCAAUAUGGGUAUUCUUCAUGGCAACUAUUUGAAAAAGCCUACCAGAUUGUUCCAUUUUGGGAACACAGCCGUUCAAGUUUCCUUUUGCAAUCCGAAAUCGUUAUUUGUUUAUUUAAUAGCAUAAAUGAAUGAAAGACGUUACCUUUUAAUUAAGACUGAGAUCAUCAACAUCGUUAUUUGUUUAUUUAAUUGUGGUGGUGGCUCGUAGGUGUUAUUUUUUUACAGAUAGAGAUGGAGGAGCGUUGUCGCUGUCUCAAAACAUCCAUGGUCAGGGGAGCUCGGGGAGCCUUAAGCUAGGGUUCUUCAUGGAGAUUACAGUGAGAGAGAUGAAGCUAUGUCUUCGGCCAAUACAGAAAAUCGCAAAGUGCAAGAACGAAAAGUGAUAUAAAGCUUAAAAAAUAAAAUAACAAAAUAUAGUAACUAUUUAGGGAUAGAAAAAAUAAAUAACGUUAGGGCUCUUACCUGGUACUACCUGACAGGGGAGCGAUGUCGAUGUUUCAAUCACCACCUCUUCCAUCAACCUUUUGUUAAUAAGAACAACCUACAUGGAAUCAAUGAUGCACCAUCAAGGAGAGAGAGAGAGAGAGAGAGAGAGAGAGAGAGAGAGGGAGCACAAAGAAAUUGUAGAAUGUAAACACCUAAAUAGAUAAUUUUUUUAUAGGCGAUGGCUUUGACUGAGCGUGGGGAUGAGCCUAUUCAAAUUAUCGUGUAUUCCGGAAGAAGAGGGAUUUUUCAGAAAAAUAGGAGCGGAGAAGUUGCCCUUAUGUUGAAGUUGUUGGACGGGAUAUGGAAGGGAACUGGGUUAAAGCCAUAGUAACUUAAGGUUUAACAAAUAUGUUGAAUUGAGCAUCUCAUAAGCAAAACCAUUAGGCGAUAAAUUGGAGAUUUGUUUGACUUAGUUUUAAGUGAGAAUUCAAAUGAAAAAGAAAUGACGGAUUAGGAUA
rnacentral:lncRNA from 1 species